UAAAUGGUGGUUCAGUGGUAGAAUGCUCGCCUUCCACGCGGGUGACCCGCGUUCGAUUCCCAGCCAAUGCACCACAAUUAU